rnacentral:rRNA from 1 species
AUUGAACGCUGGCGGCAGGCCUAACACAUGCAAGUCGAACGCGUGGCGGACGGGUGUGUAUUGUCUGGGGAACUGCCCGAUAGAGGGGGAUACCUACUGUAAAAGGUAGCUAAUACCGCGUACCAUCGGAUGUGCCCAGAUGGGAUUUGCUAGUAGGGGGGGUAAAGGCUCACCGAGGCGACGAUCCCUAGCUGGUCUGAGAGGAUGACCCGCCACACUGGAACUGAGACACGGGCCAGACUCCUACGGGAGGCAGCAGUGGGGAAUAUUGCACAAUGGGCGCAAGCCUGAUGCAGCCAUGCCGCGUGUAUGAAGAAGGCCUUCGGGUUGUAAAGUACUUUCAGCGAGGAGGCGUUACUCGCAGAAGAAGCACCGGCUAACUCCGUGCCAGCAGCCGCGGUAAUUC